UACGAAGGGUGCAAGCGUUGCUCGGAAUUAUUGGGCGUAAAGGGUAGGUAGGUGGUUACGUAUGUCUGGGGUGAAAUCCCUGAGCUCAACUCAGGAAGUGCCUUGGAAACGGCGUAACUAGAGUGCUAGAGAGGUUCGUAGAAUUCCCAGUGUAGCGGUGAAAUGCGUAGAGAUUGGGAGGAAUACCAGAGGCGAAGGCGGCGAACUGGAUAGCAACUGACACUAAACUACGAAAGCGUGGGGAGCAAACAGG
rnacentral:rRNA from 1 species